UACGUAGGGGGCAAGCGUUGUCCGGAAUCAUUGGGCGUAGAGAGCGUGUAGGCGGCCAGAUAAGUCCGCUGUGAAAUCUCGAGGCUCAACUUCGAGCUGUCGGUGGAAACUGUCUGGCUAGAGUCCGGAAGAGGAGAAUGGAAUUCCUGGUGUAGCGGUGAAAUGCGCAGAUAUCAGGAAGAACACCCGUGGCGAAGGCGGUUCUCUGGGACGGUACUGACGCUGAGACGCGAAAGCGUGGGGAGCGAACAGG
rnacentral:rRNA from 1 species